UUAAGCGACUAAGCGUACACGGUGGAUGCCCUGGCAGUCAGAGGCGAUGAAGGACGUGCUAAUCUGCGAAAAGCGUCGGUAAGGUGAUAUGAACCGUUAUAGCCGGCGAUGUCCGAAUGGGGAAACCCAGUGCAAUUCGUUGCACUAUCGUUAACUGAAUACAUAGGUUAACGAGGCGAACCGGGGGAACUGAAACAUCUAAGUACCCCGAGGAAAAGAAAUCAACCGAGAUUCCCCCAGUAGCGGCGAGCGAACGGGGAGCAGCCCAGAGUCUGAAUCAGCUUGUGUGUUAGUGGAACGGUCUGGAAAGUCCGACGGUACAGGGUGAUAGUCCCGUACACCAAAAUGCACAGGUUGUGAACUCGAAGAGUAGGGCGGGACACGUGGUAUCCUGUCUGAAUAUGGGGGGACCAUCCUCCAAGGCUAAAUACUCCUGACUGACCGAUAGUGAACCAGUACCGUGAGGGAAAGGCGAAAAGAACCCCGGCGAGGGGAGUGAAAAAGAACCUGAAACCGUGUACGUACAAGCAGUGGGAGCACCUUCGGGUGUGACUGCGUACCUUUUGUAUAAUGGGUCAGCGACUUAUAUUCUGUAGCAAGGUUAACCGUAUAGGGGAGCCGCAGGGAAACCGAGUCUUAACUGGGCGUUAAGUUGCAGGGUAUAGACCCGAAACCCGGUGAUCUAGCCAUGGGCAGGUUGAAGGUUGGGUAACACUAACUGGAGGACCGAACCGACUAAUGUUGAAAAAUUAGCGGAUGACUUGUGGCUGGGGGUGAAAGGCCAAUCAAACCGGGAGAUAGCUGGUUCUCCCCGAAAGCUAUUUAGGUAGCGCCUCGUGAACUCAUCUUCGGGGGUAGAGCACUGUUUCGGCUAGGGGGUCAUCCCGACUUACCAACCCGAUGCAAACUACGAAUACCGAAGAAUGUUAUCACGGGAGACACACGGCGGGUGCUAACGUCCGUCGUGAAGAGGGAAACAACCCAGACCGCCAGCUAAGGUCCCAAAGUCAUGGUUAAGUGGGAAACGAUGUGGGAAGGCACAGACAGCCAGGAUGUUGGCUUAGAAGCAGCCAUCAUUUAAAGAAAGCGUAAUAGCUCACUGGUCGAGUCGGCCUGCGCGGAAGAUGUAACGGGGCUAAACCAUGCACCGAAGCUGCGGCAGCGACACUAUGUGUUGUUGGGUAGGGGAGCGUUCUGUAAGCCUGCGAAGGUGACCUGUGAGGGUUGCUGGAGGUAUCAGAAGUGCGAAUGCUGACAUAAGUAACGAUAAAGCGGGUGAAAAGCCCGCUCGCCGGAAGACCAAGGGUUCCUGUCCAACGUUAAUCGGGGCAGGGUGAGUCGACCCCUAAGGCGAGGCCGAAAGGCGUAGUCGAUGGGAAACAGGUUAAUAUUCCUGUACUUGGUGUUACUGCGAAGGGGGGACGGAGAAGGCUAUGUUAGCCGGGCGACGGUUGUCCCGGUUUAAGCAUGUAGGCUGGUUGUCCAGGCAAAUCCGGAUAAUCAAGGCUGAGGUGUGAUGACGAGGCACUACGGUGCUGAAGUAACAAAUGCCCUGCUUCCAGGAAAAGCCUCUAAGCAUCAGGUAACAUUAAAUCGUACCCCAAACCGACACAGGUGGUCAGGUAGAGAAUACCAAGGCGCUUGAGAGAACUCGGGUGAAGGAACUAGGCAAAAUGGUGCCGUAACUUCGGGAGAAGGCACGCUGGUGUGUAGGUGAAGUCCCUGCGGAUGGAGCUGAGACCAGUCGAAGAUACCAGCUGGCUGCAACUGUUUAUUAAAAACACAGCACUGUGCAAACACGAAAGUGGACGUAUACGGUGUGACGCCUGCCCGGUGCCGGAAGGUUAAUUGAUGGGGUUAUCCGUAAGGAGAAGCUCUUGAUCGAAGCCCCGGUAAACGGCGGCCGUAACUAUAACGGUCCUAAGGUAGCGAAAUUCCUUGUCGGGUAAGUUCCGACCUGCACGAAUGGCGUAAUGAUGGCCAGGCUGUCUCCACCCGAGACUCAGUGAAAUUGAACUCGCUGUGAAGAUGCAGUGUACCCGCGGCAAGACGGAAAGACCCCGUGAACCUUUACUAUAGCUUGACACUGAACAUUGAGCCUUGAUGUGUAGGAUAGGUGGGAGGCUUUGAAGCGUGGACGCCAGUCUGCGUGGAGCCAACCUUGAAAUACCACCCUUUAAUGUUUGAUGUUCUAACGUUGGCCCCUUACCGGGGUUGCGGACAGUGUCUGGUGGGUAGUUUGACUGGGGCGGUCUCCUCCCAAAGCGUAACGGAGGAGCACGAAGGUUAGCUAAUCCUGGUCGGACAUCAGGAGGUUAGUGCAAUGGCAUAAGCUAGCUUGACUGCGAGCGUGACGGCGCGAGCAGGUGCGAAAGCAGGUCAUAGUGAUCCGGUGGUUCUGAAUGGAAGGGCCAUCGCUCAACGGAUAAAAGGUACUCCGGGGAUAACAGGCUGAUACCGCCCAAGAGUUCAUAUCGACGGCGGUGUUUGGCACCUCGAUGUCGGCUCAUCACAUCCUGGGGCUGAAGUAGGUCCCAAGGGUAUGGCUGUUCGCCAUUUAAAGUGGUACGCGAGCUGGGUUUAGAACGUCGUGAGACAGUUCGGUCCCUAUCUGCCGUGGGCGCUGGAGAAUUGAGGGGGGCUGCUCCUAGUACGAGAGGACCGGAGUGGACGCAUCACUGGUGUUCGGGUUGUCAUGCCAAUGGCACUGCCCGGUAGCUAAAUGCGGAAGAGAUAAGUGCUGAAAGCAUCUAAGCACGAAACUUGCCCCGAGAUGAGUUCUCCCUGAGACUUUAAGUCUCCUGAAGGAACGUUGAAGACGACGACGUUGAUAGGCCGGGUGUGUAAGCGCAGCGAUGCGUUGAGCUAACCGGUACUAAUGAACCGUGAGGCUUAACCU
rnacentral:rRNA from 1 species